UGGACAGAGGACCCCACCAAUGUGUCCUGGAGCCCUGCUUCCCCAGAGCCCUGCCCCACUAUGGAAAGAGAGAGACAGGUUGGGAGUAUGUAUCGGCCUGUCAAUGCCCAUGUUCAGCGGGGAAGCAAUUACAGAAGCCAGACCUUCCACCUUCUGCAUCCCAUAAUGUCCCUUGGUCCAUACUCCCAGAGGGAUAAAGAAUAGGAAAGCUAUCAAGGAAGGGAUGGAAUACAGAGUUCUGGUGGUGGGAAUUGUGUGGAGUUGUACCCCUUUUAUCCUAUGGAUUUGUCAGUGUUUCCUUUUUUUUUAUUUCUAUUUUUUUAAUAUUUAUUUUAUUUAUUUAUUCCCUUUCGUUGCCCUUGUUGUUUUAUUGUUGUAGUUGUUAUCGUUGUUGGAUAGGACAGAGAGAAAUGGAGAGAGGAGGGGAAGACAGAGAGGAGGAGAGAAAGAUAGACACCUGCAGACCUGCUUCACCGCCUGUGAAGCGACUCCCCUGCAGGUGGGGAGCUGGGGUUCGAACCGGGAUCCUUAUGCCGGUCCUUGUGCUUUGCGCCACCUGCGCUUAACCCACUGCGCUACAGCCCGACUCCCAGUCAACUUUUUUUUUUUUUAAAUAAUCGCUGUAGUCAUAUUCUUAAAACAUUCAGAGCUACCCCCCCCCCAUGAUAGAGUCAGAAACAGAAGUAGAAAGAGACACUGGCAGCACUGCUCCACCACUUGUGAGCCUCCCACGUCCUGUUGGUGGGGGCUAGGGGCCUAAACUGGGGCCUUCACACACGAUACACAUGUACUCUGUAGGGUGUACCACUUUCUGGCCCCUGUCAGGUUUUUCUUAAACUGAGGUGACAUACUGUAGACUAUUGAUAUUCCCAAAUAUUAAAACAUUCUUAAGGGAAUCAUGUAAUUGGUCUUUGUAUUUUUUUUUAAGAGUGAUUUUGCUGAAAUAGAAAUUUGAAAUUCAGCAGGACCCCUGAAUAAAGUCUGUUAGUGAAUACUUUUCACCUGAUUCAUGUUUCAGAGUUACUCAGACACAUUUACUGCUCGUGAGGAUUUUGAUUUAAUUCACUUUAGGGCAUAAAUGAUAUCAGUAACUUCAGGUUUCAUGAGCUUACAUUACCCUCAAGUCAUAGUUACUACUUCUAGUUAGGGGAGUAUUGAGAUCUAUGAAUGUACACAUUUUAGAUACUGUACUCUGGUUUAAAUUCUGGAAAUGAGGUUGGAAUUUUGAAGUUUUAAAGGGUUAGAACAUUGUUCUAUAUAUUUCAAGACCCAAUCUUUUCACUCACCCUUAGAUAUCUUAGUAGUAUCCUGUAUUUUUAUUCCCUGUCUGCCUCAUUCCAUUUACUUACUUCACAAAACAAUUUUUGCUUUAAGAUAUUUUUAUUUCUGCCAUUGCAGUUACAUCCUUCCCCUGAUAAAACCAAGUUUAUGUAGUGUAUGUAAUAAUAGAGAAAAUUAAAAAAAUUCCUUCAAUUAGUUAUAAUUGGUCUCAUUGGAAAUUGGGGUUCAGAAAGUGCUUUUCUUCUUAGUCUUCUAGUUCAAAACAUUUAUGUAACAUAAGUUUUAUUCUCAUAGAUGGAAUAUCAAUCAUACAACAAUAUUCACUAUAAAUUCAUUUGUCUUUUACAUGUACAAUAAAUGAAUUUUAAGAUGUUUUCCAGUGAUUUGGGUAGAUUGCAUCGGCAUCUUUAAUUUUUCUUCUUCUUUAUGUAGGGUAAGGGACUGUUCUUCUGAAGAAUCUUUCCAUUUAAUGAUCAAGAUACGGAAGCUGAUCUCUGAAAAUAAUGUUAUGCUAAUUGUAUUGUCAUUUGAGUUGUAUUUUAGUAGCAGUAUGCCCAGUUGACUCACUGGAAAGACAAUAAAAUCUUUUUUUUUUUUAAA